rnacentral:rRNA from 1 species
UACGUAGGGUGCAAGCGUUGUCCGGAAUUAUUGGGCGUAAAGAGCUCGUAGGCGGUUUGUCGCGUCUGCUGUGAAAACUCGGGGCUUAACUCCGGGCCUGCAGUGGGUACGGGCAGACUAGAGUGCGGUAGGGGAGACUGGAAUUCCUGGUGUAGCGGUGAAAUGCGCAGAUAUCAGGAGGAACACCGGUGGCGAAGGCGGCAUCCUGGACCGGUACUGACGCUGAGGCGCGAAAGCGUGGGGAGCAAACAGG